GAGGCCCAGGCUGUGGGAGGGGGCUGGGAGGGAGGCUCUCCGGAGCAGGAAGCCAGGCCGCGGGCAGGGGCCCCUCGCCGUCAAGGCAAACAGGAAGGACUGCCCCCUAAGCUCCGCGCUCCGGGCCCGCGAUCGCCGCCGCCGCCGAGCUGCAGCACCGGGCCCCGGGUAAGGAGGCGAGCCGGCAGCGCGCGGCCAGGGGAGGGCUCGGUAGGUCCCCGCACCCCGUCCCCGGACGCGCCCCGCCUCCCGGGCUCCGGCCGCCGCUGCGGGCCUCCGCAGGCCGCCUGCGCUGCCCCCGCGCCGCGGCGGGCCGUCUGCGGCCGGCGCGAUGAAGGCGGGCUCGGGGGAUCAGGGGAGCCCCCCGUGCUUCCUGCGCUUCCCGCGGCCCGUGCGGGUGGUAAGCGGCGCCGAGGCCGAGCUCAAGUGCGUGGUGCUGGGGGAGCCGCCGCCCAGCGUCGUGUGGGAGAAGGGCGGGCAGCCGCUGGUGGCCUCGGAGCGCCUGAGCUUCCCGGCGGACGGCGCCGAGCACGGCCUGCUGCUGAGCGGCGCGCUGCCCACCGACGCGGGGGUCUACGUGUGCCGCGCGCGCAACGCGGCCGGGGAGGCCUACGCGGCGGCCGCCGUCACCGUGCUGCAGCCUCCGGCCCCCGAGCCCGAGCCCCAGGCCGCCGAGCGCCCGCAGCCGGCGCCCGGGGCCGGGGAGGGCGCCCCGGUGUUCCUUACGGGGCCCCGGUCCCAGUGGGUACUGCGGGGGGAGGAGGUGGUGCUGACGUGCCAGGUGGGGGGCCUCCCCGCGCCCACGCUGUACUGGGAGAAGGAUGGGAUGGCCCUGGACGAAGUGUGGGACAGCGGCCACUUCGCUCUCGAGGCGCGCCGCGCCGAGGGCGGCCCGGGCGCCAGCCUGGCGCUGCGCAUCCUGGCGGCGCGGCUGCCCGACUCGGGCGUGUACGUGUGCCACGCCCGCAACGCGCACGGCCACGCGCAGGCCGGCGCGCUGCUCCAGGUGCAACAGCCCCCCGAGAGCCCGCCCGAAGACCCCGAUGAGGCGCCCCCGCCCGUGGUGGAGCCGCUCAAGUGCGCGCCCAAGACCUUCUGGGUGAACGAGGGCAAGCACGCCAAGUUCCGCUGCUACGUGAUGGGCAAGCCCGAGCCCGAGAUCGAAUGGCACUGGGAGGGCCACCCGCUGCUCCCCGAUCGCCGCCGCCUCAUGUACCGCGAUCGUGACGGCGGCUUCGUGCUCAAGGUGCUCUACUGCCAGGCCAAGGAUCGCGGGCUCUACGUGUGCGCCGCGCGCAACUCGGCCGGCCAGACGCUCAGUGCCGUGCAGCUGCACGUAAAAGAGCCCCGGCUCCGGUUCACGAGGCCCCUGCAGGACGUGGAGGGCCGGGAGCAUGGGAUUGCCGUGCUGGAGUGUAAAGUACCCAACUCCCGCAUUCCCACCGCCUGGUUCCGCGAGGACCAGCGGCUGCUGCCCUGCCGCAAGUACGAGCAGAUUGAGGAGGGCACCGUCCGGCGCCUCAUCAUCCACAGGCUCAAGGCGGAUGACGACGGAGUCUACCUGUGCGAGAUGCGGGGCCGGGUGCGCACCGUGGCCAACGUAACAGUCAAAGGGCCCAUCCUGAAGCGGCUGCCCCGGAAGCUCGAUGUCCUGGAGGGAGAGAACGCUGUGCUGCUGGUGGAGACGCGAGAGGCUGGGGUCGAGGGGCGCUGGAGCCGCGAUGGGGAGGACCUGCCGACCACCUGCCAGAGCAGCUCUGGCCACAUGCAUGCCCUGGUCCUUCCAGGGGUCACCCGAGAAGAUGCUGGCGAGGUCACCUUUAGCCUGGGCAACUCCCGUACCACCACUCUGCUCAGAGUCAAAUGCGUCAAGCACAGUCCCCCGGGACCCCCUGUGCUGGCAGAGAUGUUCAAGGGCCACAAGAACACGGUCUUGCUGACCUGGAAGCCCCCUGAGCCAGCUCCCGAGACCCCCUUCAUCUACCGGCUGGAGCGGCAGGAGGUGGGCUCGGAAGACUGGAUCCAGUGCUUCAGCAUUGAGAAAGCCGGAGCCGUGGAGGUGCCGGGAGACUGCGUGCCCUCCGAGGGCGACUACCGCUUCCGCGUCUGCACGGUCAGCGAGCAUGGCCGCAGUCCCCACGUUGUGUUCCACGGGUCUGCUCACCUCGUGCCCACAGCUCGCCUCGUGGCAGGCCUGGAGGAUGUGCAGGUAUAUGAUGGGGAAGAUGCUGUCUUCUCCCUGGAUCUCUCUACCAUCAUCCAGGGCACCUGGUUCCUUAACGGGGAGGAGCUCAAGAGUAGUGAGCCGGAGGGCCAGGUGGAGCCUGGGGCCCUGCGGUACCGAGUGGAACAGAAGGGCCUACAGCACAGACUCAUCCUGCAAGCCGUCAAGCACCAGGACAGCGGGGCCCUGGUCGGCUUCAGCUGCCCAGGCGUGCAGGACUCAGCUGCCCUCACCAUCCAAGAGAGCCCGGUGCACAUCCUGAGCCCCCAGGACAAGGUGUCCUUGACCUUCACGACCUCGGAGCGAGUGGUGCUGACCUGUGAGCUCUCCCGGCUGGACUUCCCGGCGAGCUGGUACAAGGAUGGGCAGAAGGUGGAGGAGAGUGAGUCGCUGGUGGUGAAGAUGGACGGGCGCAGACACCGGCUGAUCCUGCCUGAGGCCGAAGUCCAGGACAGUGGCGAGUUUGAGUGCAGAACAGAAGGGGUCUCGGCCUUCUUCAGCGUCACCGUCCGAGACCCCCCAGUGCACAUCCUGGACCCCCAGGAGCACGUGUUCGUGCAUGCCAUAACCUCCGAGUGUGUCAUGCUAACCUGUGAGGUGGACCGGGAGGACGCCCCUGUGUGCUGGUACAAGGACGGCCAGGAGGUGGAGGAAAGCGACUUCGUGGUGCUGGAGAACGAAGGGCCCCGUCACCGCCUGGUGCUGCCUGCCGCCCAGCCCCCAGAUGGGGGCGAGUUCCAGUGCGUCGCUGGAGAUGAGCGCGCCUACUUCACCGUCACCAUCACAGACGUGUCCUCGUGGAUUGUGUACCCCAGCGGCAAGGUGUAUGUGGCAGCCGUGCGCCUGGAGCGCGUGGUGCUGACCUGCGAGCUGUGCCGGCCCUGGGCCGAGGUGCGCUGGACCAAGGAUGGUGACGAGGUGGUGGAGAGUCCCUCGCUGCUCCUGCAGAAGGAGGACACCAUCCGCCGCCUGGUGCUGCCCGCUGUCCAGCUGGAGGACUCCGGAGAGUACUUGUGUGAAAUCGAUGACGAGUCGGCCUCCUUCACCGUCACUGUCACAGAGCCCCCGGUGCGCAUCAUUUACCCCCGGGAUGAGGUGACCUUGAUCGCCGUGAGCUUGGAGUGUGUGGUGCUGAUGUGUGAGCUGUCUCGGGAGGACGCCCCCGUGCGCUGGUACAAGGAUGGGCUGGAGGUGGAGGAGAGCGAGGCCCUGGUGCUGGAGAGUGAUGGGCCCCACCGCCGCCUGGUGCUGCCCGCCGCCCAGCCUGAGGACGGGGGCGAGUUCGUGUGUGAUGCUGGAGAUGACUCAGCCUUCUUCACUGUCACAGUCACAGCCCCGCCGGAGAGGAUCGUGCACCCGGCAGCCCGCUCCCUGGACCUGCAGUUCAGGGCUCCGGGGCGUGUGGAGCUGCGCUGCGAGGUGGCCCCUGCGGGGUCCCAGGUGCGCUGGUACAAGGAUGGUCUGGAGGUGGAAGCGUCCGACGCCCUACAUCUGGGUGCCGAGGGGCCUGCUCGAACCCUGACCCUGCCCCACGCACAGCCUGAGGAUGCUGGGGAGUACGUGUGCGAGACCCGUGAUGAGGCCGUCACAUUCAAUGUCAGCCUGGCUGAGCCCCCUGUCCAGUUCCUCGCCCCAGAGGCAGCCCCCAGCCCACUCUGUGUGGCCCCCGGGGAGCCAGUCGUGCUGAGCUGUGAGCUGUCCCGAGCUGUCGCCCUGGUCUUCUGGAGCCACAAUGGGAGGCCCGUGCAGGAGGGCGAGGGCCUGGAGCUUCACACUGAGGGACCCCGCCGCAUCCUCCGCAUCCGGGCCGCAGACCCGGCCCACGCAGGCCUCUACACCUGCCAAUCUGGGGCAGCCCCGGACGCCCCCAGCCUCAGCUUCACUGUCCAAGUGGCUGACCCCCCCGUGCGGGUGGUGGCCCCCGAGGCAGCCCAGACGAGGGUUCGCAGCACCCCAGGCGGGGACCUAGAGCUGGUGGUGCACCUCUCCGGGCCGGGGGGCCCUGUGCGCUGGUACAAGGACGGGGAGCGACUGGCAAGCCAGGGGCGGGUGCAGCUGGAGCAGGCCGGGCCGAGGCAGGUGCUGCGGGUGCGGGGGGCACGCAGCAGGGACGCUGGGGAAUACCUGUGCGACACGCCCCAGGACAGCCGCAUCUUCCUCGUCAGCGUGGAAGAACCACCGCUGGUGAAGCUGGUCUCAGAGCUGACACCACUGACCGUCCACGAAGGCGAUGAUGCCACCUUCCGGUGUGAAGUCUCUCCACCGGACGCCGAUGUCACCUGGCUGCACAAUGGGGCCGUUGUCACUCCAGGGCCCCAGCUAGAGGUGGCCCAGAAUGGGUCAAGCCGCACACUGACCCUGCGAGGCUGCCAGCUUGAGGAUGCGGGGACGGUGACUGCCCGAGCAGGGGCCACAGCCACAAGUGCCCGGCUCCACGUUCGAGAAACAGAGCUGCUGUUCCUGCGGCGGCUGCAGGAUGUGCGCGCAGAGGAAGGCCAGGAUGUGUGCCUGGAAGUGGAGACAGGCCGCGUGGGCGCAGCAGGGGCCGUGCGCUGGCUGCGGGGCGGGGAGCCCCUGCCCCUCGACUCUCGCCUAUCCAUGGCCCAGGAUGGCCACAUCUACCGCCUCUGCAUCCGCGGCGUCGUGCUGGCCGACCAGGGCACCUACGGCUGCGAGAGCCACCACGAUCGCACCCUGGCCAGGCUCAGCGUGAGGCCAAGGCAGCUCAGGGUGCUGCAGCCUCUGGAGGAUGUGACCAUCAUCGAGGGGGGCAGUGCUACCUUCCACCUGGAGCUGUCCCAGGAGGGUGUGACUGGGGAGUGGGCCCGGGGAGGAGUCCGGCUGCAGCCGGGGCCCAAGUGCCACAUUCACACAGAGGGCCACACUCACCACCUGGUCCUCAGUGGCCUGGGCCUGGCCGACUCGGGCUGCAUCUCCUUCACUGCGGAUUCCCUGCGCUGUGCGGCCAGACUCACCGUGAGAGAGGCCCCAGUGACCAUUGUGCGGGGGCUACAGGAUCUAGAGGUGACCGAGGGCAACACAGCUGCAUUCGAGUGCGAGCUUUCCCAGGCCUUGGCUGAUGUCACCUGGGAGAAGGACGGGCGCCCGCUCACGCCCAGCCCUCGGCUCAGGCUCCAGGCCCUCGGCGCGCGCCGCCUGCUCCAGCUGCGGCGCUGCGGCCCCUCGGACGCCGGGAGCUACAGCUGCGCGGUGGGGACGGCUCGCACCGGGCCCGUCCGCCUGGCCGUGCUCGAGCGCACGGCGUCGGUGCUCUCCGAGCUCCGGUCGGUGCGCGCCCGCGAAGGCGACGGCGCCACAUUCGAGUGCACCGUGUCGGAGGUCGAGAUCUCAGGGAGCUGGGAGCUUGAAGGCCGCCCGCUGAGACCCGGAGACCGCGUCCGCAUCCGACAGGAAGGGAAGAAACAUUUUCUCGUGCUGAGCGGGCUGCGGGCGGAGGACGCCGGUGAGGUUCGCUUCCAGGCGGGACCCGCCCAGUCCGUGGCUCAGCUGGAGGUGGAGGCACUGCCUCUCCAGAUGUGCCGCCGCCCCCCUCGCGAGAAGACGGUUCUGGUCGGCCGCCGGGCUGUGCUGGAGGUGACUGUGUCCCGCUCCGGGGGCCACGUGUGCUGGUUACGGGAGGGGGUCGAGCUAUGCCCAGGAGAUAAGUACGAGCUGCGCAGCCAUGGCCCCACCCACAGCUUGGUCAUCCAUGACGUGCGACCUGAGGACCAGGGCACCUACUGCUGCCAGGCCGGCCAGGACAGCGCCCACACACAGCUACUGGUAGAGGGAGAUGCCCCACCCUGCACCUGAAUUUCUGCAUUCCCUUCAGAUGCCUUGCCCCCCCAAACGGACCCCCACUCUCCUGCCCCCACAGACAGCCCUGACAGAGGCCUCGAGAGGGUGGGGCAGAGGUAGCUAGGAGGACCGAACCAGGCCAGGCGGGUGCCUCGGACAGCUUGGAAGGCGCAUGCCCUAACUCCGGGCAGAGGUGGGGAGGCAGGGGAACAGAGGUGUUGGGAGACAAUAAAAGUGGUACAGUCCUU